UGUGUGUGUGUGUGUGUGUGUGUGUGUGUGUGUGUGUGUGUGUGAGUCUGUGGGUCUAUGUGCUCCUGAGUGUCCAGGCUCUGUGGCAUGGUCUGAGGAUUUCACACAGUUUCCAGCAGAUGGCACUGCUGAGGCCAGGGAAGCCCACAUUGAGCUGCAUGCCUCUUGGGCACUGUGCUCAUCUUGGUGGAACACUGGAAUUCCCUGUGGAAUUGAUAAAGCCAUCCUGAAAUUGGGAAUCCUCCCUGCAAAUUCUCAUUAUGUGCUCUGUUCCUCUGUGCAGCAAUAGACACCAAGAUAUAUGAAUCCAUGUUGUAAAGACAGGAGAAAUGUCAUCAUAGGUUUCUGGUGGGCCCGGAUAUGAGGCACAGAAACUGGCAAGUGCAUAGAGAGCUAAUCUAUAGCUCUAGGCCACUGAGAGAGCUCAUGUAUAACUGGCACACUUCUUUGGACCAGCUGCAUCUUCUGGCUUGGGGACAGGAUGGGAAAUUUAAUAAGUACCAGGAGGUCCCAAUGAGUAAGUGCCAGGCUAUGGCAUCCAUUGGGCUGGGGUAGUCUAUUACCUAGCCUCACUCAUGUAAUCCUUGUGGCCUGUGUUCAUGAGGUUCUUUUCUCCUUGGGCCAUGUCCAAUUACAGACUGAAUUUUGAGCUUGAUCUGCUCAAAAUGGAGCAUAAGCAGGUGAUGUCUGACCUGCAGAAAUUGCCCAUAGAGAUCAGUGAUGCCUUGGACAAGUGCACGGGUCUGAUUGAAGAGACUGAAUCCUUCAGUUAUAUCAAUGUCCAGGUUCUAUGAGAGUGUACUCAGCUACAGAAGAAUGUACAUGUGUUGAGACUGAAGAACAGACUGCCUUGGAAGGAGCAGACUGAACUGCAAGAGUCCUGUGAGGAGCUGAAGAGGCUCUUGAGGGAGGCUCAUGAGAUGAUCUGUGACCCUUCUGCUAAGCAGCAGCAGAACAGGAUCAAGAGAGUCUGGAUGAAAGACUGAAGGACCUGCUGAAGGAGAAGGAGCUGGUCACCUAGCAAGAGGACUUGGCAGAAAAGCUGCAAUGUCUGUGAGAUGAGGUGGGAGCCCAAGCUUGGAGGAACAGUGAGAACCCUGUAGGUCACAUGUCCCUGGAUCUCUGUCCUUUUGGGGGAUUCUUCCCAUCUGGAUGGCUCCCAGCCAGAACCAGGGAAAGAACACCUCAGGGUAUUGUGCUGGCUCAGUCAAUAAGAACUUCUCCAGGAAACACUAUGUUGGAUCCUCAGUGUUUCUGGGGAGUGUGUACCCCUUAUUCCCUUCUGAGCUCUCUGGAAUCUUCUCAGUACCUUGUCCCCUGUUUCUCCCCAUAAAUCUCCCUAUGGCAGUCCUCAACCUAGCAGGAGGAGGGUUAGUUGUGUAGGACAGUGUGUGCUCCUGCCACUUUAUUUUCCUUCCAGAACAUCACCUUUAGGGAAAAGAUCCUACUUUUGGGCAGAUCUGCAUGCAGCACAGUCCUGCAGAUUAUAGGCUCUCUGCAGUGUGCAUCUGUUUCCCAUGAAAAGACUUUUCUUUCUAUUAUAAGAAGAUUUAGGAGUUGAGGAGUUGAACUGAGGCUGGUUUCUGUGCUGUAGGAAUAAUCAGAUCCUUCACUGCUUUUACUUUGCAGGCUCUGCUAUAGGGUCUACAUUCAGUUUCCCAUGUGCUCACCUUUACCUGGUACCUCUUCAAGGCCAUUCCUAUCUGCCCUGAACUGUAACUCAGACCUUGCUACACUGUUAUUUUUUCCAAAUAAUGUAUUUAAACAACCAGGGAAUGACCUCAGCUGAAAGGUCAUGCUGGGUUGUCCAGCUGA